rnacentral:lncRNA from 1 species
CUUCUGUGUAUAAUUUUAUUAGGGUGGCUAUGCCUGGGGGAAAUGCUACUUCCAAAGCUGUAGAAAUGACGAGAAAGAAGAUAGUCUUUGGCUUUGAGGUCCAUAUGUGUCAUUGCAUCAGUAACUGGCUGUUGAGCAACUGUGCCUCCCAGUGACUCAUGUGCUUCAAGUAGGCCAUUUGCUCUGGCGACCCAGAGAGACUGUAACCUAUUUUUCCAAAAGAAAAAAAAAAGACACAACACGAGAACAAAGAACAAAUAAUGGCAACUCAUUUCAAAGGCAUGUUCAUUCCUAAAACAGAUAUCCCAUUUGGGGCAGAGCACCAGAAGAGUGGCUUUGAACAAGCAUAACAUUUAUCUUGCCUGUGGAUUUUCAGCUUGCUGGAGGUAUGCUGGGAGCAUUUUGCGAAGCAGUAAAUGCAGAGUGGGGUUAUCUGCUGGAACACACUCCCCCCUUGUGUCUGGCAAUGGCCGCUGACUGUUGACUAGGGGCAGUGGCUGCAACACUGACUAGUGACCUUCCACACAACUAGUUGUCAUCUUCAUAGUAUGACAGCAGAGCUGCCAAUGUGACUGUUCCGAGGGACAGGUGGAUGCUCUAUUAACUAUUAGGACCUAGCAGAAGUCACUUGGCACCACCUCCUCCCCAUUUCUGUAGUCAAGGCAAUCAUGCUCAGACUCAAGGAGAAGGAAAACACUGGCCCCCUUGAAGCUUGUACCUGAGAAUGCUGUUUGUGUCCAUCAGGAUCCAGCCAAGAAAAGAACCCUUGAGGUCUUUUGAACAGAUGGAAUUUAACACAGAUAGAUGAUUAAAGGGUGAUAAGAAGCCAAAGCAGAAGCAACGAGGUGACCAGAGAAGGGGAACAGCUGUAAGAUGCUGCCUGCCUUCUUCCUGGGCCAGAUGAACAGUAAAAGAAGCAUGCCAUAGAAGCCAUUAUCUGACAGCAGCUGUCUGGACAGACUGACCAGUUAGGUUGGGAGCAGAAAAAAAAGAAGUCAGAAAUGGACCUGAAAGCCUAUAGGCACACACAAUAGGAGCACAAAUACCUUUUGGCUAAAUGAGUGAGAAGAGUCAUGGAGAAGGCUGGGUCCCAAACCUUAGAGAAACUCUUAUAGGAUUUCCUAUAAGAUACAGAGAUCUGGGGGAAAACAAGGGAGACCAACCUCCUGGAAGCCACAGCUCAAAAGCAAUGGGCUCUGCCAGAAUCCUGGCUAGGUUUCCAGCAGCUGGUCCUCUGAGUUAGUCACUGAAUCUUGACAGGAGACGCCAAGCACUCAUCCAUGAGCUGUGGGUAUCCAUAACUUCUAAUCCAGGAUCUUCCCUGGGUAACACGGCUUCUUAAGUAAUGAUAACAGUGCUUGCCAAUUUUAGGAAGGCAAGGUAAGAAGCAAUGAGUUAGAUGUUUAGAUACUCAGCAAAACAGAGAAAUGUGCUACAGCAGGAUGUUAAUUGACAAACUAGAGAUACGUGCACUUACUCUCACUUUGAAUUUACAGACUCCAUGGCAUAGCUUACAGGCACAAAUGAGAUAUAAUGCCUAUGUUAGUGGCAGCCCUGCUUUGCUGGGUAAAAGAAAACAAAGGUCUAAGUUUAGAGUUUAUCAAAAGAAACAAGGUAUGGAUUUUUUGAAAACAAUAACAUAGACUUCUUUGCGGUUUCUAUUUGUCUAUCUUAUAUAAUUUUAACUGAAUAAC